rnacentral:lncRNA from 1 species
UCGAGACCAGAGUAUGGUUCUUGGCUGAUGCUUGGAGGCAGAGCAGAGAGGAACAAAGAAAACAAUUCUCUACCUGGAAAAUGGAAAACAUUCAAGGUAUUUUUUAAUCUGCUCUAAUAAUCUCCACAACAAAACUAAGUUACACUCUGCGAAUUUGAUUACUUAGCUGCAUUUAUAUGUAUCCUGGCAGGUUCCUCAGAAACCUGUUGUGAGAACUCCUGCAGCAGCCACUGCUUCCUCCUUUGAGGUUUUUGUGGAUGAAGAAGAAGAAGAAGAAUGUACAGAGUAAGUUAGACAAAAUAUGAAUGUUUUUGCAGCAAGAAACAGAUGUUUUUUUUUUUUUUUUUUUUUUUUGAAAUAAAAACAGAUGUUUUGUUACUGACUUUUUUUAUUAUGAAAUUGCAGAGAGGGAGGAGAGAAGAAGAAGAAGAGUGAAACCAACUCAUCAUCAUCAUCAAACGCUCUGCCGCUUAAUGAUGGCCGUGAGAUUAAGAAGUAAGCAUUAACUCCUCUUUUU